CGGAACUCUCGCGAGAACAGUCGCCACUUAGCAGAGAUCCUGAUAGGUACGCCGCGGCAAUGGCCCGGCCUAAGUCGUCCGGGAGCCGGAUGGACAGACAGCUGGAGCAUGAUGUGUGCGAGCUCGUCCGGCAGGUUACGGGGCUGCAGGACGAGGCGGACCCCAACUUCCAGCUGGCCCUGGACUUCGUCUGGUCCAACUUCAGAUUUCAUCGUUUCUUGGAUGUCAACAGUCACAAAGUAGAAAAAACAAUAGAAGGAAUUUAUGAAAAAUUCACCAUUCAUUCUGAUCUCAACAAAGCUGCUAGUUGGAAGAGAUUAACUAAGGAGUUCCUAAAUGCAUCUCUUCCCAGCACAGAGAAAAUAAAGACAGAUGCACAUUAUUCCAUACUGUCACUCCUUCUGUGUCUGUCUGAUUCUCCUUCAAACAGCAAUUAUGUGGAAACACCGAGAGAGAAAGAAGUGGAAAAGAAGGAUGAUUUUGACUGGGGGAAGUACCUGAUGGAAGGUGAAGAAAUUGGCCUUGGUCCAAAUAUUGAUACGCCGAAUUGGUCUGAAGACAGUGAUGAUGAAGAUGCACAGCAGCCCUUGAGCAGAGAAGACUCUGGGAUACAGGUAGACAGGACCCCAUUAGAAGAGCAAGACCACAACAGAAAAGGGGGGCCUCAAGUCUGCUGGGAAGAUGAGCCAGAUAGCCGGAGCUGGCUGGAACAGCAUGUAGUUCAUCAGUACUGGACAACCAGGCGCUUCCGAAUUCCACACAGUGCACAUCUGCACUCCAAUUUAGCUGCUGUCUGGGAUCAACACCUGUACAGCAGUGACCCUCUGUACGUGCCAGAUGACAGGGUGGUGGUUACUGAGACACAGGUCAUUCGGGAGACCCUGUGGUUACUUUCAGGGGUGAAAAAGAUGUUUAUAUUUCAGUUGAUAGAUGGGAAGGUAACUGUGAGAAACAAUAUUAUUGUAACUCACUUGACACAUAGCUGUUUACGAUCUGUGCUGGAACAAAUAGCAGCGUAUGGCCAGGUUGUGUUUCGGCUCCAGGAGUUCAUUGAUGAAGUCAUGGGGCACAGCUCUGAAAGUCUACCACCGGGAAAUGGCCCCAUACCUAAGAAGCAACCUGACGCUCCCUUUAGAACCUACCAGGCCUUCAUGUGGGCCCUCUACAAAUACUUCAUUAACUUCAAGGAAGAGCUUACAGACAUUGAGAAGUGUGUUAUCAGUAGUGAUACAACCAUAACACUUGCAAUAGUGGUGAACAAGUUGGCACCUCGAUUGGCGCAGCUAAAGGUCCUGGACAAAGUGUUUAGUACUGGAGUGGCAGAAGUUCCACCUGAUACUCGCAAUGUCGUCCGGGCAUCUCACCUGCUUAACACCCUGUACAAGGCCAUUCUUGAAUAUGACAAUGUUGGCGAAGCCUCUGAACAAACAGUCUCCCUCCUGUUCUCUCUCUGGGUGGAAACAGUGAGGCCCUACCUACAGACGGUAGAUGAAUGGAUCGUCCAUGGACACCUAUGGGACGGCGCAAGGGAGUUUAUCAUACAGAGGAAUAAAAACGUUCCAGUAAAUCACAGAGACUUCUGGUAUGCAACGUACACACUCUAUAGCGUAUCUGAGAAGACAGAGAAUGAAGACAAAGUGAGUGACAGUGCCAGUGCCAGCUCUGGCAGUGACCAGGGGCCCUCGAGCAGACAGCACACCAUGGUGUCCUUCCUGAAGCCUGUCCUGAAGCAGAUCAUAAUGGCUGGCAAGUCAAUGCAGCUGCUGAAGAACCUCAACUGUGCAGAGGGCCCUGCGUGCCAGGCAGCAGCCAGAGAUGCAGAAAGAAAAAGCUUAUAUACCCUCUUUCUGGAAUCUAUACAGUUACGUCUUCAACAUGGAGAAGAUUCUGCUCCACACAUUGUUAAUGAAGAUCAAACAACCAAAGAGAACCUUAUAAAGAUGCAGUCCAUUGCUGAAAGGCACCUUGAGCUAGAUGAUAUUCAUGACCCACUGUUGGCCAUCAACUUUGCAAGGUUGUAUUUGGAGCAGAGCGACUUUCACGAGAAGUUUGCUGGUGGUGACAUAUGCGUGGAUAGAUCAUCAGAGUCUGUGACCUGCCAGACUUUUGAAUUAACACUGAGGUCUUGCCUCUAUCCUCACAUUGAUAAGCAGUAUCUACAUUGCUGUGGGAAUCUCAUGCAAACCUUAAAGAGAGAUUUCAGGCUGGUGGAGUACUUGCAGGCCAUGAGGAAUUUUUUCUUGAUGGAAGGUGGAGACACCAUGUAUGACUUCUAUACUUCAAUUUUUGAUAAAAUAAGAGAAAAGGAAACCUGGCAGAAUGUGUCUUUUCUUAAUGUGCAGCUCCAAGAAGCAGUAGGACAGCGCUAUCCUGAAGACAGUUUACGUUUAUCUAUAUCUUUUGAAAAUGUUGAUACAACUAAGAAGAAACUACCCGUUCAUAUCUUAGAUGGUCUUACCCUAAGCUACAAGGUCCCAUGGCCUGUGGACAUUGUUAUAAGUGUAGAAUGUCAAAAAAUUUAUAAUCAGGUGUUCCUUCUCCUAUUGCAAAUAAAAUGGGCAAAAUACAGCCUGGAUGUUCUACUAUUUGGUGAACUGGGUAAUGCUGCUGAAAGAUCCCAAGCAAAGGAAGACAUUCCACGUGAUCAGGACACACCCUCCCAGUUUGGACCACCAAAAGAGUCAUUAAGACAGCAGAUUCAUCGCAUGUUUCUCUUAAGAGUGAAGCUCAUGCACUUUGUGAAUAGUUUACACAACUACAUCAUGACCAGGAUUCUUCACAGUACAGGGCUGGAGUUUCAGCAUCAAGUUGAGGAAGCCAAAGAUUUAGAUCAGUUGAUUAAAAUUCACUACAGGUAUUUGUCAACCAUCCAUGAUCGAUGUCUGCUGAGAGAAAAGGUCAGCUUCGUGAAAGAAGCCAUCAUGAAAGUGUUGAACUUGGCGCUCAUGUUUGCAGAAGGUUGGCAGGCAGGCCUAGGGGCUUGGCAGUAAGUAUGUGCUAUGUGAUAACCUGUAUUGUGACCAUUUCUGACUAGCUUCAUUUGAGGAGUCUUUCCACCCCCAAUCUGAGAAUGGUUCACAUAAGACUGUGACUAGGAAUUUAGAAGUAGUUCAGUGGCUUACCUACUCUGCAUAAGACCUGGAGUUCAAGCCUAUGUUCCAGCAGUACAUAGAAUUUAGUGACACUAGAAAGCAUCAGGAAAGUCAGUUUCCUUAUCAGCACAAGCAAUUUAAAAAACUAAGGUCUUUUCGUUAAAAUAAGCAAACAUCUGGGCUGGAGAGAUGGCUCAGCAAUUAAGAGCACUGGCUGCCCUUCCCGAGGUCCUGAGUUCAAUUCCCAGCAACCACAUGAUGGCUCACAACCAUCUCAUAAUGAAAUCUGAUGCCCCCUUCUGGUAUGCAGGUACACAUGCAGUUAUACAUUAAAUAAAUAAAACUUAAAAAAAAUAAGCCAACAUUCUUAGAUUAUCUGCAUGGCUCAAUUUCUUAUUGUACACACGUUCAAGCAUGGAGAAGUUUAAAGGGCAGCAUGACACGUCCGUGUGACUCACCUCAGCAGUUUCUGAGGAGGACCAGUUCUGGACCGUGAGCCCCACCGCUUCACACUUGCUGAAACAUUUUAAAGUAAAUGAUGGGUAUCAUGCUGGGUUACUUUCCAAAUUUCUAUGUUUGUAAGCUCUAAAAGAUGAUGUAUAUGUUAUUUUUUCACUUGUGUCAUUUAGAAUGGCAAACUACUUAAAGUCAAUAAACAGAAAAGAGCCAGUCUACAGGAACAUCUCCAGUUUUUUUGUUGUUGUUGUUGUUUGUUUGUGUUUGUGUCUGUGCUAGGGUUUGAACUCAGGACCUUACUCACGUGUGCUAUGUAAAUGCUUUACUGGGCUACACUACCAGCCUGGCUAUCUUCUUAUGUCAAUUUGAAUAUAUAGUUCAAUGCUUAGCCUCUGUCUCCUUUAUAAAAUAUAUGCAGUGAUAAUUUGCUGAAAUGGAGCUUCAUGUCUUGUGGCUUAGGGUUUUCUUGUGUGCUUGUAUGAGGAGUAUAUUCACACAAAUUUGUGAGGAUGCAUGUCUCUUUGCACAUGGAGGCCAGAAGAGUUGUCUGGGUAUCUUCUCUGUUAUCCUCCAUAGACUCCUCUGAGACAGACUCUUUCCCUGAGCCUGGGACUUACUUUUCUCAGCCAGAGUGGAAGGCAGUAAAGCCCAGCAAGCCUGCUGUCUCCUCCUCCUCAAACUGUGGCUGCAGGCCUAUGAGAGGCCAUUUGUAGACGCUGGGGUCCAAACUCUAGACCUCAGGGCUGCACACAAACACUCUUAAGCACUGAGCACCUCUCCAACCCUUGCGCAGCAUUUAUAGCAGUCGGUAUUUAGUCCAUGCUAAUCACGAGGGGAGUGCACCUUAGUGCUGCUGCCAUUCAGAGCCUAGACUGGAGCCCUGUGACGGGGAGGGCGUUCCUAAGGGAAGGCCUAAAAACACUAGUGUCGGCUGGGGAGGUGACUCAGCACACGCAAGCCUGACAGCCUGGAUUCAAGCCUCAAAACCCACAGAAAGGUGGAGAAAGAACUCAUUUUGUAAAGCUAUCUGCUGCCAUCAUCACGCAGAUAGCACACACAUAAACACACAUUACUCACAGACAUGCAAAUACAAAGAAAAAAAGCAGACUAGGAGUGUAGCUCUGUGGUGAAGCACUUGCCUAGGAUCGCCCAUGUCCUGCCUGAGUUCUGUUCCCCACAACAGAAAGCAAGAAAAUAGACACCUUCCUGACUAUAUGUCCUCUCAAAGUUUACAAAACUACUUUAAUCUGUAACACUUACCUAGAUGAGGGGUCACUAUUCCAGAUGCUGUACUGAAUUCAUUUCAGUAAAGUUUUCAUUUCUACAACAAAUUGUCAGCAAAAAGCAGGGAGGAGGACGUUAAGCAUUUCAGAGCUGGUAUGGGGACAUAAAUAAAUGUUUGCCUAUUUAGAAAGGGGAGGCUGUAAGGUCAUGAGUUAAAGGCUCUGUGCACAGUAAUAUUUAUGAAAGGUUUGUGUUCUAUGAAAUUUGCUUCUAAGUAAGUACUGUGGUAAGGUUGAGGAGGGUUUGUUGGCUUUAGGUAGAUAACUGCCAGAGAGGGUUGAUGAGCUGCGCGCGCGCACACACACGCACACACACACGCACACACAUACGCUCACCCCAGAAAGGAAACUAUGACAUCAAAGUAAUAAAUACACCAGAGUCAAACUUGGUAAGGCCAUGAGUGCACACAGGUUAUUGAAAGGAGUAUGGAUGAUAGGUCACUUAGAAGACCAAGAAUAACCAAAAUAUAUCAGCUAUGCCAGCAAAAGGGUCCCAAGGAUUGGGUGACGAUUCAUCAGAGCAUCGCCCCAUUCCAGGAUCCCUCUGCAGGACCUGCCGCCAGCUUGACAGUCUCGUCCCUGUCCCUCCUGGGCAGGGUCUCCUCCGCUAGCACUUACUACCUUCUGUAAAGGUGGGGAAGGGACAUCAAGAAGCUUUCUAGUUUCCACCUCCCACCAUGGGAUUUUAUUUACUUCAUGAGUUCCUAGCACUCCCCUCUCUCUGUGAGCUGUGUGUGUGUUGGGGGGAGAGGGGGUGAUACCAAGAAAUGUGUCAAUUUGGAGGAAACCCCUGUACAACAUGAACAUAUUAUGAAGUGUUUUCCUGUGUCUGUUUUGGAUCUGAUUUCAAGGCCGGCCUGGUCUACAGAGCGAGUUUCAGGACAACCAGGGCUACAUAGAGAAACUUUUGUCUUACGAGGGGAAAGAAAGAAUGGAAUCUAUAGAGAAGAUGGAAUCUGACUUUAAAAACUGCCACAUGUUUCUGGUAACCAUCUUAAAUAAAGCUGUGUGUAGAGGAUCUUUUCCCCACUUGGAAUCUCUUGCACUGUCGCUCAUGGCUGGCAUGGAGCAAAGUUAAAUAUCUCUAAUUUAACAAGUACCUUAGACUUCAGCAUCAUCCAUGUACAUAUUCACUGUUUGCAGCUGAGAAAUAAGAAUCUGUUUAUUUUUAUUUAUUUUUAUUGUUAAACCUGUCUAGACAAAUGGAUUGUAGGUAUUUUUCUGAAGAUUAUUAUCGAGUAUGUAGAGUUAUGUAUAUAAUAUUGUAUAUAUAAUUGUAAAAUAUAUAGGAGUUGUAUAAAAGUAGACUACUAAUAUUUCUUUUCUUCUAAAAGAUUGACUUAUUUUAAUGUAUAUGAGUAUUUUGCCUGCUUGUAUAUAUGUACAUACCUGGUGCUCAGAAGCAAUAAAAGAACAUCAGAUACCCUGUAAGUUUUACAUUUCCUCUUACCUAAAAAUUGUCUUAGAUUUCACUAUCCUGGAUGUAUUUUUAUGUGCAUAGAAAAUCCCAAAAGAAAAAUAACAACCAAUAUCAAUAUAUAAACUGUACUUUACUUAAGGCCAGCUGUUAUAUAUCGAUUUUUGGCAUUUAUUAGCUAACCAGUAAUAUCUCAAAUAAAAGUAUGUAUAUCAUCCCAUUUUUCUACCUA